rnacentral:rRNA from 1 species
GACGGAGGAUGCAAGCGUUAUCCGGAAUUAUUGGGCGUAAAGCGUCCGCAGGUGGCUGUUCAAGUCUGCUGUCAAAGCGCAGAGCUUAACUCUGUACAGGCGGUGGAAACUGAAGAGCUAGAGUAUGGUAGGGGUAGAGGGAAUUCCCGGUGUAGCGGUGAAAUGCGUAGAGAUCAGGAGGAACACCCAUGGCGAAGGCAGCUCUCUGGUCGACAUCUGACGCUGAGACGCGAAAGCGUGGGGAGCGAACGGG